rnacentral:rRNA from 1 species
ACGUAGGGGGCAAGCGUUAUCCGGAAUUAUUGGGCGUAAAGAGUGCGUAGGUGGUUUUUUAAGCGUGAGGUGAAAGGCAAUAGCUUAACUAUUGUAAGCCUUGCGAACUGGAAGACUUGAGUGCAGGAGAGGAAAGUGGAAUUCCUAGUGUAGCGGUGAAAUGGGUAGAUAUUAGGAGGAAGACCAGUGGGGAAGGCGACUUACUGGGCUGUAACUGACUGUGAGGCACGUAAGCGUGUGGAGCAAACAU